rnacentral:tRNA from 1 species
GCCUGGAUGGCGGAAUUGGUAGACGCAGGAGACUCAAAAUCUCCCGGUGGCCAACACCUUGGGGGUUCGAGUCCCCCUCCAGGCACCA